GAUGAACGCUGGCGGCGUGCCUAAUACAUGCAAGUCGAGCGAACGGACGAGAAGCUUGCUUCUCUGACGUUAGCGGCGGACGGGUGAGUAACACGUGGAUAACCUACCUAUAAGACUGGGAUAACUUCGGGAAACCGGAGCUAAUACCGGAUAAUAUUUUGAACCGCAUGGUUCAAUAGUGAAAGACGGUUUUGCUGUCACUUAUAGAUGGAUCCGCGCUGCAUUAGCUAGUUGGUAAGGUAACGGCUUACCAAGGCAACGAUGCGUAGCCGACCUGAGAGGGUGAUCGGCCACACUGGAACUGAGACACGGUCCAGACUCCUACGGGAGGCAGCAGUAGGGAAUCUUCCGCAAUGGGCGAAAGCCUGACGGAGCAACGCCGCGUGAGUGAUGAAGGUCUUCGGAUCGUAAAACUCUGUUAUUAGGGAAGAACAAAUGUGUAAGUAACUAUGCACGUCUUGACGGUACCUAAUCAGAAAGCCACGGCUAACUACGUG
rnacentral:rRNA from 1 species